GAACAAGAGGAGGAGAAUGAGAAGGAGGAAGACAAACGCCAGUAUCUUGUUGUUGUUGAUGGUGUUGUUCCUGUUGUUCUUGUUGUUCUUCUUCUUGUUCUUGUUGUGGUUGGUUGUUGUGAAAUUUUUGAAAAAGUUGUUGAAGG
rnacentral:ribozyme from 13 species